rnacentral:rRNA from 1 species
GUACACUCCUGCGGGAGGCAGCAGUGGGGAAUUUUGGACAAUGGGCGAAAGCCUGAUCCAGCAAUGCCGCGUGAGUGAAGAAGGCCUUCGGGUUGUAAAGCUCUUUUGUCAGGGAAGAAACGGUGAAAGCUAAUAUCUUUUGCUAAUGACGGUACCUGAAGAAUAAGCACCGGCUAACUACGUGCCAGCAGCCGCGGUAAUACGUAGGGUGCAAGCGUUAAUCGGAAUUACUGGGCGUAAAGCGUGCGCAGGCGCUUUUGUAAGUCUGAUGUGAAAUCCCCGGGCUCAACCUGGGAAUUGCAUUGGAGACUGCAAGGCUAGAAUCUGGCAGAGGGGGGUAGAAUUCCACGUGUAGCAGUGAAAUGCGUAGAUAUGUGGAGGAACACCGAUGGCGAAGGCAGCCCCCUGGGUCAAGAUUGACGCUCAUGCACGAAAGCGUGGGGAGCAAACAGGAUUAGAUACCCUUGUAGUCC